GAUGAAGAACGUAGCGAAAUGCGAUAAGUAAUGUGAAUUGCAGAAUUCAGUGAAUCAUCGAAUCUUUGAACGCACCUUGCGCCCUUUGGCUAUUCCGAAGGGCAUGCCUGUUUGAGUAUCAUGAACACCUCAACUCUCAUGGUUUGCCAUGAUGAGCUUGGACUCUGGGGGUCUUGCUGGCCUAUGGUCAGCUCCUCUCAAAUAAAUCAGCUUGCCAGUGUUUGGUGGCAUCACAGGUGUGAUAACUAUCUACGCUUGUGGUUUUCCAUCAGGUAACCUUCAGUGAUGGAGGUUCGCUGGAGCUCAUAAAUGUCCCUCCUCAGCGAGGACAGCUUUUUGAACGUUUGAUCUCAAAUCAGGUAGGACUACCCGCUGAACUUAAGCAUAUCAAAAGCGGAGGA
rnacentral:misc_RNA from 1 species